rnacentral:rRNA from 1 species
UACGGGGGGGGCAAGCGUUGUUCGGAAUUACUGGGCGUAAAGGGCUCGUAGGCGGCCAACUAAGUCGGAUGUGAAAUCCCCAGGCUUAACCUGGGAACUGCAUCCGAUACUGGAUGGCUUGAAUCCGGGAGAGGGAUGCGGAAUUCCAGGUGUAGCGGUGAAAUGCGUAGAUAUCUGGAGGAACACCGGUGGCGAAGGCGGCAUCCUGGACCGGCAUUGACGCUGAGGAGCGAAAGCCAGGGGAGCAAGCGGG